CCUACGGGAGGCAGCAGUGGGGGAUAUUGCACAAUGGGGGAAACCCUGAUGCAGCGACGCCGCGUGUGCGAAGAAGUAUUUCGGUAUGUAAAGCCCUAUCAGCAGGGAGGAAGGAAUGACGGUACCUGAGUAAGGAGCACCGGCUAAAUACGUGCAAGCAGACGCGGUAAUACGUAUGGUGCAAGCGUUAUCCGGCUGUACUGGGUGGAAAGGGUGCGCAGGCGGCACGGCAAGCCUGAUGUGAAAGCCCGCGGCCCAACCGGGGGACUGCAUUGGGAACUACCGGGCGGGAGUGCCGGAGAGGUAGGCGGAAUUCCUAGUGGAGCGGUGAAAUGCGUAGAUAUGAGGAGGAACACCAGUGGCGAAGGCGGCUUACUGGACGGUGACUGACGCUGAGGCUCGAAAGCGUGGGGAGCAAACAGGAUUAGAUACCCGGGUAGUC
rnacentral:rRNA from 1 species